GUGCUCGCUUCGGCAGCACAUAUACUAAAAUUGGAACGAUACAGAGAAGAUUAGCAUGGCCCCGCAGAGUUGUCAAGUGAAUCUCACUUACCCGUCGAUUUUGU